AGGAAUCCUGUGGCGCCUUAAAGACUAACAAAUUUAUUUGGGCAUAAGCUUUCAUGGGCUGGAACCCACUUCAUCAGAUGCAUGAAGUGAAAACUUCAAAUGGGCAGAUAUAUAUAUACACAUGGAAACACAGGUACAAGGCCUAUCAUGUACCCCUGGGAGAUGGUAGGUUCCAGGGCUGCUGCCAGCAAGUCAGGCUCCAGUACUAGAGCUGGCCUGGCUACAGAGCCUCCAGCUCAGAGAGACACCACAGAUGCGCCUGCCACAAGAUCCUUUAAUGCUCUGCCUGGCAUGGCAGAGGUUUUCUUAUAUAAGGUCUGUUACACACAGCACCACCUAGUGGCUGAACUGUAUAGUACAGUUUACCAUGCCAUUACAAGCCCGGACACUGAAAGGGUUCACUCAGAGAGCCCAGAGAGGGGCCAGAGGUGCAGGUAAUCCUGUAAUCAUGACAGGUUCCCUCCCAGAUCUGCCCUUUUACCAUGGCCAUGUGCUCUAAUACCACCUGGCCACAAGCAACCGCUACCCCCAGGCCUGGUGCAGCCUCUCCUGGGCACCAGUCCAGUGCAGCCACUUCAACCCAUUUCCAAGUACAGCUGGACAAACUCUGGAGGAUGGAUGUGUGUGUGUAAUUCCCACCCUUGUAUUUCUCCCCACGUUGAAUGCUGUGGAAAGGGUCUCAGUAAAGGUUAGACAGCUUUGAUCAA